rnacentral:rRNA from 1 species
UACGUAGGAGGCAAGCGUUGUCCGGAGUUACUGGGCGUAAAGCGCACGCAGGCGGUCGCAUUAGUCUGGGGUGACAGUUCCCGGCUUAACCGGAAAAGGACUCUGGAAACUGUGCGACUUGAGGGCUUCAGAGGAUGUGGAAUUCCAGGUGGAGUGGAUGAAAUGCGUAGAGAUCUGGAAGAACACCAAAGGCGAAGGCAGCGAUCCCUGGGAAGUUCCUGACGCUC